rnacentral:rRNA from 1 species
GCCUGGCCCUAAAUCUUGAUGUUCCACCCUACCUGAACAUCCGCCCGAGAACUACGAGCACAAACGCUUAAAACUCUAAGGACUUGGCGGUGCCCCAAACCCACCUAGAGGAGCCUGUUCUGUAAUCGAUGAUCCACGAUAUUACCUGACCAUUUCUUGCCAAAACAGCCUAUAUACCGCCGUCCCCAGCUCACCUUCCCUGACAGCCCAACAGUGAGCGCAAUAGCCCCAUCACGCUAAUAAGACAGGUCAAGGUAUAGCCUAUGGAAUGGAAGCAAUGGGCUACAUUUUCUAUAUUAGAACAUACGGCAAGGGGACCUGAAACGAUCCCCGGAAGGCGGAUUUAGCAGUAAAGUGGGACAAUCGAGCCCUCUUUAAGCCGGCUCUGGGGCACGU